GAAUCGCAUAGGACUUCUUCUUUUCUAUUAAAGUUGAUAAAUCCCAUCUAAGUACACAUCAUAUUUCUACAAUAAAUUUACUGUAGCCAACAUAUACUUUAAGGCUCUGUAUGGUUAGGAGAUCGAGUUAUGGUAUUGUCAAACUACAGCAAUCUCAUUAUGAAUAGCUGAGGCACUGCAGGUCAAAAAACCAUUCACACUACUAC
rnacentral:lncRNA from 1 species